AACGAACGCUGGCGGCGUGCUUAACACAUGCAAGUCUUACGAGAAAGCUUCCUUCGGGAAGUAAGUAAAGUGGCGCACGGGUGAGUAACACGUGAAUAAUCUGCCCUUGAGUUGGGGACAACGGUUGGAAACGACCGCUAAUACCGAAUAAGACCACGAUAUCUUCGGGUAUUAUGGUUAAAGGAGCUUCGGCUUCGUCUUGAGGAUGAGUUCGCGGUCUAUUAGCUUGUUGGUGGGGUAAUGGCCCACCAAGGCGAUGAUAGAUAGCUGGUCUGAGAGGAUGAUCAGCCACACUGGAACUGAGACACGGUCCAG
rnacentral:rRNA from 1 species